rnacentral:rRNA from 1 species
UACGUAGGGUGCGAGCGUUAAUCGGAAUCAUUGGGCUUAAAGCGUGUGUAGGCGGCCCGGUAAGUACCUUGUGAAAUCCCACGUCUCAACCGUGGAACUGCUUGGUGUACUGCCGGGCUCGAGGUUGGUAGAGGUGCCUGGAACUCUAGGUGGAGCGGUGAAAUGCGUAGAUAUCUAGAGGAACGCCCGUGGCGAAAGCGGGGCACUGGGCCAAUCCUGACGCUGAGACACGAAAGCGUGGGGAGCAAACGGG